GCCUUGUUGACUGCAGACACACGUAGGCGGUACGUCUGACCAGCCUGCAGCCUGGAUAUCUAAUAACAACAUUUAAACGUUUAAAUCUCACAUUUAUCUUCAGGUUCAGGCAUCGUCCACCGCUCACAGAGAAAAGCCUCGCUGGGUCCAGACGGUUUACUGAUUCCAAUGAUGUUGGAUGCAAAGACACGGAACUGGUAAUAGUGGCCCUCUAGAAGACCAGACACCUGUGAAAAAGACAGAGAAGAAAGAGCUGAAAUAGUGGAUGAAGUCUGAUUCAAAGUCAAGACAACUCAAGGCUUUACGUUGACCUCCUUCCAGACACUCUGAGAUUUCUCCCGCUGGUCCAGGUAGUAGCCCUGCACCGGGACGCCACCGUGACUGGCAGGGGCUCUCCAACCAAUCACCAGCUCACUGCCAGAGCAACAGAGCAGAGAUACACCAGAGGGAGCAGAUGGAACCACUGUGGGGGAGGAGGGGGACAGCAUUAUUAGAAUAAAGUUUCGGGGAUUUGGAGACCCCUCUGGUGGAAACGUGUAAGUGCGGAAGAACAAUUACCAAGAGGAUGAUUCAAAGAGAAUUCAGUCAAAACGAAGGGCGCAUAUUCUGAGCAUGUGAGUUAAUUAUGUGCUAUUGUCAUCAUAUCUUCAUCAGUGUAAUGUUGAUUCUGAGAUCAUUUGAGGCCUAAACAUCGAGCUGGACCUUCUUUUUGAGCCUGUUUGUGUCACGUUAAUAUGUACGAUGUGGUGUGAAAAACUCCCGCCAAAUCCAUCCCAAUGCCUGUGACUUUUAGAUCAUUAUUUCAGGCUUUACAGGGCGACUUGCAGCAAUGCAUUUUAUUCAUUUUUUAGAUUCAAUCAUUUUUCAUAUGAUUUUAAAUUUAAUGUUUAAUAUCUUCUCUUCCAAUCAUUGUUUCAAUCAUGUUUCAUACAUACAUACAUCAUCUAAACCGCUUAUCCUUCUGGGUCGCGGUGGGGUGCUGGAGCCUAUCCCAGCUGUCAUUGGGCGGAAGGCAGGAUAUACCCUGGACAGGUCGCCAGUCCAUCG